UGGCGGACGGGUGAGUAACGCGUGGAAAACCUGCCGUAUACUGGGGGAUAACACUUAGAAAUAGGUGCUAAUACCGCAUAAGCGCACAGCUUCGCAUGAAGCGGUGUGAAAAACUCUGGUGGUAUACGAUGGUUCCGCGUCUGAUUAGCUAGUUGGUGGGGUAAUGGCCUACCAAGGCAACGAUCAGUAGCCGACCUGAGAGGGUGAACGGCCACAUUGGGACUGAGACACGGCCCAAACUCCUACGGAAGGCAGCAG
rnacentral:rRNA from 1 species